rnacentral:rRNA from 1 species
CUACGGGGUGCAGCAGUGGGGAAUCUUGCGCAAUGGGCGAAAGCCUGACGCAGCCAUGCCGCGUGAGUGAUGAAGGUCUUAGGAUUGUAAAGCUCUUUCGCCCGUGACGAUGAUGACGGUAACGGGAGAAGAAGCCCCGGCUAACUUCGUGCCAGCAGCCGCGGUAAUACGAAGGGGGCUAGCGUUGUUCGGAAUUACUGGGCGUAAAGCGCGCGUAGGCGGCUUUGCAAGCCAGGGGUGAAAUGCCUGAGCUCAACUUGGGAAUUGCCUUUGGGACUGUGAGGCUUCGAGGACUGGAGAGGUGAGUGGAAUUCCCAGUGUAGAGGUGAAAUUCGUAGAUAUUGGGAAGAACACCGGUGGCGAAGGCGGCUCACUGGCCAGUUUCUGACGCUGCAGCGCGAAAGCGUGGGGAUCAAACAGGAUUAGAUACCCUCGUAGUC